rnacentral:rRNA from 1 species
CAGCACAGAGAAGCUUGCUUCUUGGGUGGCGAGUGGCGAACGGGUGAGUAACAUAUCGGAACGUACCGAGCAGUGGGGGAUAACUAAUCGAAAGAUUAGCUAAUACCGCAUAUCUUCUGAGGAAGAAAGCAGGGGACCAUUUGGCCUUGCGCUGUUUGAGCGGCCGAUAUCUGAUUAGCUAGUUGGUGGGGUAAAGGCCUACCAAGGCGACGAUCAGUAGCGGGUCUGAGAGGAUGAUCCGCCACACUGGGACUGAGACACGGCCCAGACUCCUACGGGAGGCAGCAGUNGGGAAUUUUGGACAAUGGGCGCAAGCCUGAUCCAGCCAUGCCGCGUGUCUGAAGAAGGCCUUCGGGUUGUAAAGGACUUUUGUCAGGGAAGAAAAGGGCGGGGUUAAUACCCCUGUCUGAUGACGGUACCUGAAGAAUAAGCACCGGCUAACUACGUGCCAGCAGCCGCGGUAAUACGUAGGGUGCGAGCGUUAAUCGGAAUUACUGGGCGUAAAGCGGGCGCAGACGGUUACUUAAGCAGGAUGUGAAAUCCCCGGGCUCAACCUGGGAACUGCGUUCUGAACUGGGUGACUAGAGUGUGUCAGAGGGAGGUAGAAUUCCACGUGUAGCAGUGAAAUGCGUAGAGAUGUGGAGGAAUACCGAUGGCGAAGGCAGCCUCCUGGGAUAACACUGACGUUCAUGCCCGAAAGCGUGGGUAGCAAACAGGAUUAGAUACCCUGGUAGUCCACGCCCUAAACGAUGUCGAUUAGCUGUUGGGCAGCAUGACUGCUUAGUAGCGAAGUAACGCGUGAAAUCGACCGCCUGGGGAGUACGGUCGCAA